CCAUUUUGAUUCUCUGGCGGCAAAAUGUUGCUCUCUACGAGUAGAAGUAAGUAUAUUCUCUUCGUUCCUUGUAGACUCGUUGCUUUUUGCCUCUUUAUUUCUAAAAUUGUUUUCUCUCUUUUGAUCUGCAGCGGCCAAGUCAAAAUCAAAGCGCAUUAUUGUGCAACUUGUUAGUAUGGCUGGUACUGGAUAUUAUUACAUGAUGUCCAGGAACAGACUCAAACCCAAGCUGGAGUUCAUGAAAUACGAUCCAAUCGUGAACAAGCAUGUGCUGUUUGUGGAGCAAAAAGUCAAAAAGGGGAAGUGAUGGCCCAUGGGAACCCAUUGUAAGAAUUGCUGACAGAUGUACAGUUACUAUUUAAAUACAAGUUCAAUCCAAAGGAAUAUUCAGAAAUGGAGUAUGCAAGGACAUUGAUAAAUAAAACAAAAGUGAAGUGCAGAUGGUGACAGAGAAAGGAAAGUUGAGAGUAUUCAUGGACUUGACAAUAAUUAAUUUUCCACCACAUUGGAAUUGCAUUCUAUGUUUCAUACUUGGGUACAUUCACCCUUUACAGCAUGAAGUGUAGCAAAUUCAUAGUGCAUUAUGUAACUUCUUCAUGUCCAGUUCUCUAUGAGGCUCAAGAGUGUAACAUGUGAAUUAAGGAAACAAAAGACAACUAAAUGAGGAAGGAAAUUUACAGGAAGAAGUGUUAUUUUUAUUAUUAAAGAUUUUUAUUGCUUCUUUAUCA